AUUGAACGCUGGCGGCAGGCCUAACACAUGCAAGUCGAGCGGUUGAGGUAGCUUGCUACCGAUGCAGCGGCGAACGGGUGAGUAAUACAUGGGAAUCUGCCUGGUAGUGGGGGACAACGUUUCGAAAGGAACGCUAAUACCGCAUACGCCCUACGGGGGAAAGGGGGGAUCGCAAGACCUCCCGCUAUCAGAUGAGCCCA
rnacentral:rRNA from 1 species